CACACGACUCUCGGCAACGGAUAUCUCGGCUCUCGCAUCGAUGAAGAACGUAGCGAAAUGCGAUACUUGGUGUGAAUUGCAGAAUCCCGCGAACCAUCGAGUCUUUGAACGCAAGUUGCGCCCGAGACCUUUUGGUUGAGGGCACGCCUGCCUGGGCGUCACGC
rnacentral:rRNA from 1 species